GGGAUUGUAGCUCAGUGGUAGAGCGCUUGCCUAGCACACAUGAGUCCUGGGUUCAACCCUCAGUGCCA
rnacentral:tRNA from 1 species